rnacentral:lncRNA from 1 species
UACAGUUGGGCUGUAGCUUUCUUGGGCCCUUAGAUAUCAUUAAACUCCCGUCAGAUUGGUCUAAAGUAAAAAUAAUGGAAGACACCGACCCCCGCCCCACCCCCACCCCCCCCCCCCCCUCCCCCGUCAAUUAGUGGAGGGGCCAUUGGAAAGAAAACCAGGUGCUCAAACCCCAUGUUUUUAUGAUGCUCCCUAGAUUCCUCUCUUCGUGUUGUAAAAUCGGAGUGUCGUUUCAAAAUAAAAUUCCCAGGAAGAACUUUGUGGAAAUGAUAGUGUGUGUGCUUGAGAAAGUAGCCGAUCCAAGUAAAUGGGCCUCUUGUGCUUUCAUGCAAAUAGUGUGAAAUUGAGCCCACAAAAUGCACUCCUGAGCUUCCUAAAUUUCCAGUGUCUUAUUUAGGUUGAGCCCAAACCUAUAUGAUCAACAAUAACUACGUCAAUACUCAAUACAACGGUGGUAGCUGCCGAGAUAUUCUAGGAUGCAGUCCCUGUUCUUUUCUUUUUUUUUCUGGAGAAAUUCUCUUGAAAUGCUGGCAUUGAACACGUGAAUGUUGGCACGAGAGAUAAAUAUUUCUUUACUUUUUGCUCCUCGCUCAGAUUAGUAGGGAUUAAUGAGCAUAAUGUUGGAUUUAUGCUAUGGUAAAGCAAUGAAAAUGUAAGAUACAAGUUUCUCCCCC